rnacentral:tRNA from 1 species
AGGGGUGUAGCUCAAUUGGUAGAGCACCGGUCUCCAAAACCGGCGGUUGAGUGUUCGAGUCACUCCGCCCCUG